rnacentral:rRNA from 1 species
CCUACGGGGGGCAGCAGUAGGGAAUAUUGCUCAAUGGGGGAAACCCUGAAGCAGCAACGCCGCGUGGAGGAUGAAGGUUUUCGGAUUGUAAACUCCUUUUGUUAGAGAAGAUAAUGACGGUAUCUAACGAAUAAGCACCGGCUAACUCCGUGCCAGCAGCCGCGGUAAUACGGAGGGUGCAAGCGUUACGCGGAAUCACUGGGCGUAAGGAGCGCGUAGGCGGGAUAGCAAGUCAGAUGUGAAAUCCUAUGGCUUAACCAUAGAACUGCAUUUGAAACUGUUAUUCUAGAGUAUGGGAGAGGUAGGUGGAAUUCUUGGUGUAGGGGUAAAAUCCGUAGAGAUCAAGAGGAAUACUCAUUGCGAAGGCGACCUGCUAGAACAUAACUGACGCUGAUGCGCGAAAGCGUGGGGAGCAAACAGGAUUAGAUACCCCAGUAGUC